AAAGGGAAACGUAACCCCGUCCCUACCGCCGAACGUGCCUCGGUCCUAUGCAAAAGGGGCUUCGGGUGGUUCCACCCCGGGCCACGGAGAAGGACUUUCAGGGAGGCGGAGAGAAUGGAGGUGCCUGGCUCGCUUUAGCAAAGCACAGGUGUCUGGACCUUCAAUCACAAUAUACCAAGGAAGAGACUCCACCCCCACCACACUGCUGGAGGAAGCGCAUCCCAGACAGCCCAGCACUGAGCCCAAAUGUGCACGUCUCGGAGGAUCCUAUGGAACGCCCAUCGUUUCUGCUCCAGCUCAGAAUGGCCUGGUGGAAGAUGGGAGCCCCAGCUUCCAGAUACCGCUGCCACUACCGCUGGCCUGGAGCUUUGGAGCACUGAGGUCUGCCAAAACCAGUGGGGACUUUGAGGUAGCAAAUUAUGCUCCCUCCCGAGAUUCCUGAUGCAUCAUGAAGAAUCUGCUUCCAAAUCAGAUAAGUCACCGAGUGAAACACACUUGAUGGUGCAGAUAAAUUUUUACAACAGCUGUGGAGUCAGCCUGGGUGUUUUCAUAAAGAUACUGUUCACCAGAAAAUAUUCUCUCCCCCAGGAAUUUCAUAGCAAACAUUUUGUUUCACAUUUUGGCACUUUGGUUCUCCUUGGUUGGUGGUAGGGGAGCUUGGGG
rnacentral:lncRNA from 12 species